rnacentral:misc_RNA from 1 species
GAUGAAGAACGUAGCGAAAUGCGAUAAGUAGUGUGAAUUGCAGAAUUCAGUGAAUCAUCGAAUCUUUGAACGCACAUUGCGCCCUUUGGUAUUCCAAAGGGCAUGCCUGUUCGAGCGUCAUUUGUACCCUCAAGCUUUGCUUGGUGUUGGGCGUCUUGUCUCUAGCUUUGCUGGAGACUCGCCUUAAAGUAAUUGGCAGCCGGCCUACUGGUUUCGGAGCGCAGCACAAGUCGCACUCUCUAUCAGCAAAGGUCUAGCAUCCAUUAAGCCUUUUUUUCAACUUUUGACCUCGGAUCAGGUAGGGAUACCCGCUGAACUCAAUCAUAUCAAUAAGCGGAGGA